GUUGAACGCUAGCGGCAGGCUUAAUACGUGCAAGUCGAGGGACAGCACAGGUAGCAAUACCGGGUGGUAACCGGCAAACGGGUGCGGAACACGUACACAACCUUCCUUUAAGUGGGGGAUAGCCCAGAGAAAUUUGGAUUAAUACCCCGUAAUAUAGUUGAAUGGCAUCAUUUGAUUAUUAUAGCUACGGCGCUUAAUGAUGGGUGUGCGGCUGAUUAGAUAGUUGGCGGGGUAACGGCCCACCAAGUCUACGAUCAGUAGCUGAUGUGAGAGCAUGAUCAGCCACACGGGCACUGAGACACGGGCCCGACUCCUACGGGAGGCAGCAGUAAGGAAUAUUGGUCAAUGGACGCAAGUCUGAACCAGCCAUGCCGCGUGAAGGAUUAAGGUCCUCUGGAUUGUAAACUUCUUUUAUUUGGGACGAAAAAGGGCCUUUCUAGGUCAACUGACGGUACCAGAUGAAUAAGCACCGGCUAACUCCGUGCCAGCCGCCGCCGUAAAAC
rnacentral:rRNA from 1 species